rnacentral:rRNA from 1 species
GUGCCAGCCGCCGCGGUAAUACGGAGGGUGCAAGCGUUGUCCGGAAUCACUGGGCGUAAAGGGUGCGCAGGCGGGGCAGCAAGUCGGAGGUGAAAGCCCAUGGCUCAACCAUGGAAGUGCCUUCGAAACUGUUGCUCUUGAGUCCCGGAGAGGCUGUCGGAAUUCGUGGUGUAGCGGUGAAAUCCCGUAAUCCCGGACGGACUACCGAUGGCGAAAGCACUCUGAGAAGACGGCUUCGACAGUGAGGGACGAAAGCUCGGGUCUCAAACCGGAUUAGAAACCCCGGUAGUCC